UGGAUGCGUGUAUUGUCAAGAGAAGGGCAGUAACUACUCCUGAGCCUUCUACUAAGCGACCUACUACUAGGUUGCAAGCAGAAGAGGCUUAUGAGUCUACCUUAUAAAAGAGCAAAAGGAGCACUAAGAGGAAAAAGAAGAGGCUGGAGAAAAAUGAAGAAAUGGUAUGUGACAAGGAGCUUCUUGUAGUGGAAGUUGAUGAGGAAGCAACAGAGGAACCUAGUUCCUUAGUUAAAAGGUCCCAGAAGAAGAAGC
rnacentral:lncRNA from 1 species